AACGAACGCUGGCGGCAUGCCUAACACAUGCAAGUCGAACGAGACCUUCGGGUCUAGCGGCGCACGGGUGCGUAACGCGUGGGAACCUGCCCUUAGGUUCGGAAUAACUCCCCGAAAGGGGUGCUAAUACCGGAUAAUGUCUUCGGACCAAAGAUUUAUCGCCUUUGGAUGGGCCCGCGUUGGAUUAGCUAGUUGGUAGGGUAAAAGCCUACCAAGGCGACGAUCCAUAGCUGGUCUGAGAGGAUGAUCAGCCACACUGGGACUGAGACACGGCCCAGACUCCUACGGGAGGCAGCAGUGGGGAAUAUUGGACAAUGGGCGAUAGCCUGAUCCAGCAAUGCCGCGUGAGUGAUGAAGGCCGUAGGGUUGUAAAGCUCUUUUACCCGGGAUGAUAAUGACAGUACCGGGAGAAUAAGCUCCGGCUAACUCCGUG
rnacentral:rRNA from 1 species